AAUUGGAUUGAGCCUUGGUAUGGAAACCUACUAAGUGAUAACUUUCAAAUUCAGAGAAACCCUGGAAUUAAUAAAAAUGGGCAAUCCUGAGCCAAAUCCCUUUUUCGAAAAAAAACAAAGAUUCGGAAAGCAAAAAUAAGAAUAAAUAAAGGGGGAUAGGUGCAGAGACUCAACGGAAGCUGUUCUAACAAACGGAUUUGACUGCGUUGGUCGAGGAAUCUUUUCAUCGAAACUAAAGAAAGGAUGAAAGAAAAACAUAGAUACAUAUGUAUACGUAUUGAAAUACUAUAUCAAUUUAUUAAUAACGAUCCAAACCUGUAUCCUUAUUUUUUUCUAUAAAAAAAAAAGAAAGAAGUGUUGUGAAUAGAUUCCACAAUGAAUAAAGAAUUGAAUGCUUCUUGAUCAAAUAAGUUAAUCCAUAGUCUGAUAGAUCUUUUGAAGAACUGAUUAAUCGGACGAGAAUAAAGAUAGAGUCCCAUUCUACAUGUCAAUACCGACAGCAAUGAAAUUUAUAGUAAGAGGAAAAUCCGUCGACUUUAGAAAUCGUGAGGGUUCAAGUCCCUCUAUCCCCAAAACAAAAGCAUAUUUUAUUUACUCCGGCGGAAAUGCCUCUCUCUUAUCAAAGGAAUCCUUUUGGGGAAGGAAUCUCCAUUUGAAUGAUUCACGGACCAUCUCUUUAUUCAUACUGAAACUGACAAAGUUUUUUUUUUAAUCCAACAAAUUCCAAGGCCUGGAUAAGACUUUGGAAUAGCUUAUCAUUUUUUAAUUGACAUAGACCCAAGUCAUCUAGUAAAAUUAGGAUGAUGUAUUCUGAAUCGUAACCGUCGGGAUAGCUCAGCUGGUAGAGCAGAGG
rnacentral:misc_RNA from 1 species